CUAAAUGCAUUUUAAAGUAAGAUUUAAAAAAAAUGGAAGUGAAGAGAAUGAUAUAAAGGAAGAACAUGGGUUGUGGAGUCAGACACUGCUGGACUGAAUUCUGACAACCAUUUACUUCAGACAGGAUCCGUGAUUCACCUGCUUUAUUUGUUGAUUUGCUAUCUGUGCUUUCUACGUAAACUGAUUAUGCGAGUCUUGAAGAGUUUUAGGGAAGCACAUUCUCAUCCAGUCUUAUUCUUCAAUAGUGAAGAGCAGAAUCUUGAAAAGAAGCAAGCACACAAUGGUGCCUUCCUGAUGUAAUAUGAACACACUAUUUCCCCCCUUAUCUGCCUUUAGUGAAGAUACAGAACAGCUGGUCACCAUCCUUCCUAUUUGGACAAAGAAUGCAAGAAUGGAUUAUUAUGGAAAUCACUUCCUUCCCUCCAGUCUAGUAGGUGAUGACUCCACUUAAGGAAGGAGCAAUAGAGGGGAAACUCUCAAUGCUUCUGGCCUGCUUCCAUGUAGUCUGUGGAUAAUAAAGCUCUUUGAUGUCUGGUGCAUUCAUAACCACCAAACUCAGGUUUCCAGUCAACGGAAAAGCUAUUUUACACUACUUUUGAUGUGAUGAAAUAACUUAACUAGACAUGGUUAAUCACAUAGCUGGUGAUUAUGCCAUGCAAGGAAAAGCCACUAAAAUAAGCCAAGUGCCUCUAAAAAGAACAAAGGAAUACUUCUCCUCGCAGGCAUAUACAGGCUGACUCAAGUGCUCCGGCAUGACUCCAUUUUUUUUGCCAUCCAGACACACUCUCACUCUUUUGAUAACAUGAAACAUGAUCACAACUGCAUCCAUGAGGAUUCUGCAUACUUAGCUGAUUUGUUUAUUGCUUACUGUGUGGCAUUCAUGAUUUGCCAUUACUGUGUUUCCAGACAUAUCUGACUUUGAUCACACUGCCCAGCCUAACAGUUUCUGGACUAAAGCAGAGCAAGCUCUUUUAUAAAUGUCUAAUCCCACUUAGGUUAUUUGUUGAUUGUUUUGUCCAAAGCAUCCAGAUUUUGAGCCAAUUUGGUUGGUAUCACAAAUGCAAACCCUUUCAUAAUUGGGUGUCCCUACAGGUUAGCAGAUUAAGAGCAAAGAAGGCUCUGGAGAGAACAGCACUGACAAGUUGGUUUAUUAGUUCAGCUGCCUUGAAAGACAAGCCAAGGUCUUGUUUCAACUAGCAUUUUUAUUUGUAUCAAUGGAUGUUAAGCUAGUUCUAGGAAAUAAACAAACAGGAUUUAUUAACAUAGAUUAUUUCUAUGUAGAGGAGAUUCUAAUUUUUUGUAAUUCUAAAGGAAUUUAAAACUAAUAAAAUAUACAUUUAAUAUUUUCAAAAGCCUGGCAACUAAACAUAUUGCUGUGGUUUGGAUCUUGAAUGUCCCCCAAGGGCUCAUGUGUUCAAGGUUUGGAUCCCAGACUUUGGCAAUAUUGGGAAGUGGCAGUCACUUAAUGAGGUGAGGUCUAGUGAAAGGAAGGUAGGUCCUUGGGGUUAUGUCCUUGAAGGUGAUAUUGUGACCUGGCCUCUUCCUGUCUUUCUCUUUCUCCAUGUGUGUAUGUGUCCACACAACCUGGUUGCCAUAAGGUGUGCAGCUUUGCUCUUCCACAGGCUUCCUGCCAUGAUGGUCUCUCUCACCACAGGUCCAAAAUUGAUGGUGCCAAAUGGCCAUGAACAGAAACUAUGAAAGAGUGGCCCAAAAUAAAUCUUUUUUCCUUAGGUUAAAUAUCUUAGGCAUUUUGUCACAGAAAUG